GCGUAAUAGCUCACUGGUCGAGUCGGCCUGCGCGGAAGAUGUAACGGGGCUAAACCAUGCACCGAAGCUGCGGCAGCGACACUAUGUGUUGUUGGGUAGGGGAGCGUUCUGUAAGCCUGCGAAGGUGUGCUGUGAGGCAUGCUGGAGGUAUCAGAAGUGCGAAUGCUGACAUAAGUAACGAUAAAGCGGGUGAAAAGCCCGCUCGCCGGAAGACCAAGGGUUCCUGUCCAACGUUAAUCGGGGCAGGGUGAGUCGACCCCUAAGGCGAGGCCGAAAGGCGUAGUCGAUGGGAAACAGGUUAAUAUUCCUGUACUUGGUGUUACUGCGAAGGGGGGACGGAGAAGGCUAUGUUAGCCGGGCGACGGUUGUCCCGGUUUAAGCAUGUAGGCUGGUUGUCCAGGCAAAUCCGGAUAAUCAAGGCUGAGGUGUGAUGACGAGGCACUACGGUGCUGAAGUAACAAAUGCCCUGCUUCCAGGAAAAGCCUCUAAGCAUCAGGUAACAUUAAAUCGUACCCCAAACCGACACAGGUGGUCAGGUAGAGAAUACCAAGGCGCUUGAGAGAACUCGGGUGAAGGAACUAGGCAAAAUGGUGCCGUAACUUCGGGAGAAGGCACGCUGGUGUGUAGGUGA
rnacentral:rRNA from 1 species